CAGGUGAUCUGCCCACCUCGACCUCCCAAAGUGCUGGGAUUACAGGCGUGAGCCACCGCGCCCGGCCAGCAUAUAUACUUUUAAAACAAGAGCUUAAAAAUUUGGGGAUGGAAAUAAACAAGAGAAUGAGAUAGAAAAGGCCGGAAGAGAUAGGAAAUGCUGUAGGAACACUUAAGGAUUGUGGCUAAAAAAGCUGUGAUAUGAAGUCAGGGCGUCAGUUCACUUGAGGGAGGAACUUUUUGUGUGUAACUCCCAGCCCUGCCACUUGCUGCCAUGUGCCUACCAUGAUGGGUUGUGUGGGUGAACUUAGGUAGCACAUGGCAUUGGCGACACCCAGCCACACAGAUCUAGGAGCUGCCAUUCACGUCCUCAUCGCUGCAAAUGCAGUGUGCACCCUGUGCAGGACACCUUGCAGCCCAGGAUGACACAAAGUGGAUGCUAGAUAAACAUUAGCGGCAAUCAGUGACACUGUAUGAAACUCCCCAUCAUGGUGGAAACUUGUACUGAGAAAAGAUGGCCACUUCUCAGGGUCAUUGUAGCAAACAGCAAAGGUAGAGGCUUGAAUGUGAUGUCCUUGGAGUGGCCAUCCCAUGAUAACUUAUAAAUCUUUUAUUUUAUCACUGUUAUUACCCCUUCUACCAUAUUCCCUAUUUCUAACUCAUUGUCCCUUCUUUCUUUCCUGUUAAAACCUUUCUGCCCUUGAGCAAAGCAAAGGUAAGUUCUCACUUGUUUUCCCACUUAGUUCUAUGUCAACCAAGACCUGUUUGUUUCUGCCAGUAAGUUACUUCCUAGGGCCUGUGAAAUAACGUGGACUUUGAGUGUGGCUCUUUUGACAGAGCAAUAGCACCACCUGCUACCACCUACUAGAAAUGUCGUCUUGUAGAACAAAGAAAUACGCACGCCCUGCUGUUCUGCAAUCAGGCUCUGACAGAAGCUUUCAGGUGUGGUGCUUACAAGAUCAGACUCAUUGACUCACUCACUUCUCCCUGCUCCGUCACUACACUCCCAGGACAAGAUAUUUUGCUUAACAAAUAAUGACUACAUCCAACCAGAUAAGGAUACAAACAAGCACAUUCUUCCACUAUCAGUCCUCACCAGAGGACUCUGUGGCCAUAAAAAGAGUAAGGCUUCAGCAGCUCAACACAACUGACGCAGUCCUGCUAUCAGUUGCGAUAAGCACCUGGCAUCUGCCUACAAAGGCUCUGCCCACAUCAAAGACUCUUCCUUGCGAGACUGAGGGACUGCCCAGGCCAAGCCAGGAGAUUCUUUUUGUCUUCGUUGUUCUCCCUGCAAUGGUUCAUUAACUCUUUUUUCUCUCCCUUUUCUCUUGAUGUUAAAUGUUACUUUGUGAGCUGUGGAAUGUUUAACAUGUAUAUAGUGACCACGUAUUCUAUUACAUAUGGUUUUCAGUAUUAACUGACUUGUGGAGUGGCUUGAGCCUGUGUGCCCGCUAUUCUCACUACCGAGUGAAUGGGAAGUUCUGAGGAGAACCUCUUUCUUGGGAACUCCAUUGAGCUCAUGGUUUUUGUGAUUGAAACAGUAUCAAUAAAAGUCUGACCUUGUGGCAAGAUA